AUUGAACGCUGGCGGCAUGCCUUACACAUGCAAGUCGAACGGUAACAGGUCUUCGGAUGCUGACGAGUGGCGAACGGGUGAGUAAUACAUCGGAACGUGCCUAGUAGUGGGGGAUAACUACUCGAAAGAGUGGCUAAUACCGCAUGAGAUCUACGGAUGAAAGCAGGGGAUCGCAAGACCUUGUGCUACUAGAGCGGCUGAUGGCAGAUUAGGUAGUUGGUGGGAUAAAAGCUUACCAAGCCGACGAUCUGUAGCUGGUCUGAGAGGACGAUCAGCCACACUGGGACUGAGACACGGCCCAGACUCCUACGGGAGGCAGCAGUGGGGAAUUUUGGACAAUGGGCGCAAGCCUGAUCCAGCAAUGCCGCGUGCAGGAUGAAGGCCUUCGGGUUGUAAACUGCUUUUGUACGGAACGAAAAGACUCCUUCUAAUAAAGGGGGUCCAUGACGGUACCGUAAGAAUAAGCACCGGCUAACUACGUGCCAGCCGCCGCCGUAAGAC
rnacentral:rRNA from 1 species